rnacentral:rRNA from 1 species
CCUACGGGUGGCAGCAGUGGGGAAUAUUGGGCAAUGGGCGCAAGCCUGACCCAGCAACGCCGCGUGAAGGAAGAAGGCUUUCGGGUUGUAAACUUCUUUUGUCCGGGAAGAGUAGAAGACGGUACCUGACGAAUAAGCCACGGCUAAAUACGUGCCAGCAGCCGCGGUAAUACGUAGGUGGCAAGCGUUGUCCGGAUUUACUGGGUGUAAAGGGCGUGUAGCCGGGUUGACAAGUCAGAUGUGAAAUCCUGCGGCUUAACCGCAGAACUGCAUUUGAAACUGUUGAUCUUGAGUACUGGAGAGGCAGACGGAAGUCCUAGUGUAGCGGUGAAAUGCGUAGAUAUUAGGAAGAACACCAGUGGCGAAGGCGGCAUGCUGGACAGCAACUGACGGUGAGGCGCGAAAGCGUGGGGAGCAAACAGGAUUAGAUACCCUUGUAGUC